AGUGGAGUGAGAAAAGCUACAUAUUUCUUAGAAAUAAUGCCAGAUUUCAUUGUGGAACCUGGCUUGUACAUGCAUGUAUGCAAAUAUGAAUCAGUGAGGACAAGUGUGCUUCCACUUUAAGGAGACAUGGGAACUUCUAAUUGAGGCAGAUACAGUAGCUAUAGGUUGCAGCACAUGCAUAAAGAGGAGAUGUCAGCUAAGAAGAAGCAUCUAAUAAUUCCCUAGUAAUACUGGGGCAGAGACACCUAAAUAGAGCAAAACAGCGAGGCGCGAAGAUGAUGCCAGGGUGGAAACACAAGAUGAUGAUAAACCUCCUGACUUGUCCUCUUUGUGGUGGCUUGCGCCACCACCAUCUAC